AUGAGAAAAUGAUAAAUUUUAUUCUGAUAAAAAUUCAAGAAUGACAAAAUGACAACAUGUGAUAAAUUUAUUAUGUAAAAUAAAAUGUCCAAAUGUUUGAGUUUGUAGUACAGCAUUUAUGAUGGUGUAGGAUGUAGAUAUAUUAGAAACUAUAUAUUUACACAUGGUACUUAUUGCUGCAGCAUAGGAGUCUGAAGAGCAGUUUCCAUAGAGACUGGCGGGAACCAGUUUGGAAAUACACACGCAAACACAAACAGAAAAGACAGACCAUCUGCUUGAAAACCAAAAUCUAAAUGUCGUAGAGAACGGGGGGGG